rnacentral:rRNA from 1 species
UACGUAGGGGGCUAGCGUUGUCCGGAAUCAUUGGGCGUAAAGCGCGUGUAGGCGGUCCGGUAAGUCCGCUGUGAAAGUCGAGGGCUCAACCCUCGAAUGCCGGUGGAUACUGUCGGGCUAGAGUGCGGAAGAGGCGAGUGGAAUUCCUGGUGUAGCGGUGAAAUGCGCAGAUAUCAGGAGGAACACCAAUUGCGAAGGCAGCUCGCUGGGACGUUACUGACGCUGAGACGCGAAAGCGUGGGGAGCAAACAGG